rnacentral:rRNA from 1 species
GUGGGGAAUUUUGGACAAUGGGCGCAAGCCUGAUCCAGCAAUGCCGCGUGCAGGAAGAAGGCCUUCGGGUUGUAAACUGCUUUUGUACGGAACGAAACGGUCCGGGUUAAUACCCUGGGCUAAUGACGGUACCGUAAGAAUAAGCACCGGCUAACUACGUGCCAGCAGCCGCGGUAAUACGUAGGGUGCAAGCGUUAAUCGGAAUUACUGGGCGUAAAGCGUGCGCAGGCGGUUUUGUAAGACAGGCGUGAAAUCCCCGGGCUCAACCUGGGAAUUGCGCUUGUGACUGCAGUGCUGGAGUACGGCAGAGGGGGAUGGAAUUCCGCGUGUAGCAGUGAAAUGCGUAGAUAUGCGGAGGAACACCGAUGGCGAAGGCAGUCCCCUGGGCCUGUACUGACGCUCAUGCACGAAAGCGUGGGGAGCAAACAGGAUUAGAUACCCUGGUAGUCC